rnacentral:rRNA from 1 species
AGGAUCAUUACUGAACUGUUAACACGAGUUGUUGCUGGCCCUCAAAUGGGGGCAUGUGCACACUCUGUUUACAUAUCCACUCACACCUGUGCAUCCUCCGUAGUUCCAUGGUGUGGGGGACACCGUCCUCCUGCUGUGGUUCUACGUCUUUACACACACACUGUAAUAAAGUCACAUGGCAUGUAUAUAGCGUUUAACGCAAUACAAUACAACUUUCAGCAACGGAUCUCUUGGCUCUCGCAUCGAUGAAGAACGCAGCGAAAUGCGAUAAGUAAUGUGAAUUGCAGAAUUCAGUGAAUCAUCGAAUCUUUGAACGCACCUUGCGCCCUUUGGCUAUUCCGAAGGGCAUGCCUGUUUGAGUAUCAUGAACACCUCAACCCUCAUGGUUUGCCAUGAUGGGCUUGGACUUUGGGGGUCUUGCUGGAUUGUGGUCAGCUCCCCUUAAAUGAAUCAGCUUGCCAGUGUUUGGUGGCAUCGCAGGUGUGAUAACUAUCUACGCUUGUGGUUUUACAUCAGAUAACCUUCAGUGAUGGAGGUUCACUGGAGCUCAUAAGGGUCUCUCCUCUGUGAGGACAGUUCUUUGACCGUUUGAUCUCAAAUCAGGUAGGACUACCCGCUGAACUUAAGCAUAUCAAUAAGCGGAGGAAAAGAAACUAACAAGGAUUCCCCUAGUAACUGCGAGUGAAGCGGGAAGAGCUCAAAUUUGAAAUCUGGCGUGCCUCUGGUCGCCCGAGUUGUAGUCUGGAGAAGCGUCUUCCGUGUUGGACCGUGUAUAAGUCUCUUGGAACAGGGCGUCAUAG